AAGAUACUCCCUCCGUCCCAAAAUUGUUGUCUUACAUUUGUCUAGAUACGGAUGUAUCUAACACUAAAACGUAACUAGAUACAUCCGUAUUUAGACAAAUCUAAGACAAGAAUUUUGGGAUGGAGGGAGUACAAG
rnacentral:pre_miRNA from 1 species